rnacentral:tRNA from 1 species
UCCCUGGUAGCCUAGUGGUUUAAGGAUCUGGCAUUGUCACUGCUGUGGCACAGGUUCGAUCCCUGGCCAAGGAA